AGUUCUCUGUAGUGUUUGCCAAUGUUGGAGCCGUCUGCAAAGUGUCCCCGGCAAGAAGAUGUUCUCAGUGCAGCUGAGUCUUGGUGAGCAGACAUGGGAAUCCGAAGGCAGCAGUAUAAAGAAGGCUCAACAGGCUGUUGCCAGUAAAGCUUUGACUGAAUCUACGCUUCCCAAACCAGUUCAGAAGCCACCCAAAAGUAAUGUUAACAAUAACCCAGGUAUCAUUGCCCAGUGCCUAAGAUCUUUUAUGUUCAGCUCACUGUAGGAAAUAAUGAAUUUUUUGGGGAAGGAAAGACUCGACAAGCUGCUAGACACAAUGCUGCAAUGAAAGCCCUCCAAGCACUGCAGAAUGAACCUAUUCCAGAAAGAUCUCCUCAGAAUGGUGAAUCAGGAAAGGAUAUGGAUGAUGACAAAGAUGCAAAUAAGUCUGAGAUCAGCUUAGUGUUUGAAAUUGCUCUGAAGCGAAAUAUGCCUGUCAGUUUUGAGGUUAUUAAAGAAAGUGGACCACCACAUAUGAAAAGCUUUGUUACUCGAGUGUCAGUAGGAGAGUUC
rnacentral:sRNA from 1 species